GUGCUCACUUCUGCAGCACAUAUACUAAAAUUGGAAUGAUACAGAGAAGAUUAGCAUGUCCCGUGUGCAAGGAUGACACACAAAUUCAUGAAGCGUUCCAUAUUUUU
ensembl:snRNA LOC120100143 U6 spliceosomal RNA